AGAUUGAACGCUGGCGGCAUGCUUUACACAUGCAAGUCGAACGGCAGCACGGGGGCAACCCUGGUGGCGAGUGGCGAACGGGUGAGUAAUGCAUCGGAACGUAUCUUUAAGUGGGGGAUAACGCAUCGAAAGAUGCGCUAAUACCGCAUAAUCUCUGAGGAGAAAAGCAGGAGAUCGCAAGACCUUGCGCUUUUGGAGCGGCCGAUGUCUGAUUAGGUAGUUGGUGGGGUAAGGACGUCACCAAGCCACGAUCUGUAGCUGGUCUGAGAGGACGACCAGCCACACUGGGACUGAGACACGGCCCAGACUCCGUACGGGA
rnacentral:rRNA from 1 species